UUCAUUAGGAUAUCUCGACUCUAUCAUCGAUGAAAGAACGUUGUGAAAUGCGAUGUUUAAUAUAAAUUAUAGAAUUUGGUAAAUUAUUGAGACUUUUUAUGUAAGUUGCGUCUAAAGUUACGUUAAGCGAAC
rnacentral:rRNA from 1 species